rnacentral:rRNA from 1 species
CUACGGGCGGCUGCAGUGAGGAAUUUUGCGCAAUGGGGGAAACCCUGACGCAGCAACGCCGCGUGAGCGAAGAAGGCCCUCGGGUCGUAAAGCUCUGUCAAGUGGGAAAAAAAUCUUUUGAUCAAUAGUCAAAAGACUUGAUGGUACCACUGGAGGAAGCACCGGCUAACUCCGUGCCAGCAGCCGCGGUAAUACGGAGGUGCAAGCGUUGUUCGGAUUUACUGGGCGUAAAGAGCGUGUAGGCGGUUUAGCAAGUCAGAUGUGAAAGCCCUGGGCUCAACCCGGGAAGUGCAUUUGAAACUGCUUCACUAGAGUAUGGGAGAGGAGAUUGGAAUUCCUGGUGUAGAGGUGAAAUUCGUAGAUAUCAGGAGGAACACCCGUGGCGAAGGCGAUUCUCUGGACCAAUACUGACGCUGAGACGCGAAAGCGUGGGGAGCAAACAGGAUUAGAUACCCCCGUAGUC